AGACUACUUGGGAGGUGACACACCGCCCCCCCAUCCUUCCCUCGCAGCAGGAUGCUGGGACUGGGGGGAUGCUGUGUGUCCAGAGACAACUUGCUGAUCUCUGAGCUUCGGUCUCCAUAUCCUUCAAAUGGGGUGGCCAGCGGGACUCCUGGGCCUUGGGUUUGGUGCCUACUCACUGACUGGACUCAAGCCCCUGUCCACGGUGUUAAUCCUCAUCCCACUCCUUGCCUCAACCCUGCACGCCUGACCGCUAACUUCAACAUCUCCCAAGACCUCCUCAUCUCCGGGAUGAAUUCUGAGCUCACGUUCUGGACCGCUGCCAGAAAGAAGGAAGCGGCGUUAGUUUAAAGCAUCACACAAAAGGCCGCAGAAUUUCAACAGAAAAUAGAAUUACAAGCUGGUGUCAUAAAAACUCGGGACUUUUCCCUUCUCAACCAAGAGGCAACUGAAAACAGGCAGCCGAAGAGAAAACGGAAGAUUGUGGCCCCAGGAGACACCAUGUUGAAGUUCAGACUCCAUUCUGCUCAUCCACAGACAUCGCAAAGACCAUGCCUGGACAGCGACACAAUGUGCAGCUUCUCACAUAGACUCUAGGCUUUCAAGAAUCAUGGAAGUCUGCAGAUGACAUCGGGGACCCCUCAUGAAAAUGGAGUCAUCUGUGAAUGUGAAUGCCAAUAUAGAAGAGCCACAGACACAGAGCUAGAGUUCCAAAGAAGCUCCAGGUGGAUAGCACCUGAGGAAUGACAGCUCCGAGGUGGAUUUCAGUCUUCAACAUGCAAGUGGACACACCUACUGAGCCUACAAAAACAC